rnacentral:rRNA from 1 species
UGGAAACGAUGGCUAAUACCGCAUGAUGCCUACGGGCCAAAGAGGGGGACCUUCGGGCCUCUCGCGUCAGGAUAUGCCUAGGUGGGAUUAGCUAGUUGGUGAGGUAAGGGCUCACCAAGGCGACGAUCCCUAGCUGGUCUGAGAGGAUGAUCAGCCACACUGGAACUGAGACACGGUCCAGACUCCUACGGGAGGCAGCAGUGGGGAAUAUUGCACAAUGGGCGCAAGCCUGAUGCAGCCAUGCCGCGUGUGUGAAGAAGGCCUUCGGGUUGUAAAGCACUUUCAGUCGUGAGGAAGGUGGUGUCGUUAAUAGCGGCGUUGUUUGACGUUAGCGACAGAAGAAGCACCGGCUAACUCCGUGCCAGCAGCCGCGGUAAUACGGAGGGUGCGAGCGUUAAUCGGAAUUACUGGGCGUAAAGCGCAUGCAGGUGGUUUGUUAAGUCAGAUGUGAAAGCCCGGGGCUCAACCUCGGAAUAGCAUUUGAAACUGGCAGACUAGAGUACUGUAGAGGGGGGUAGAAUUUCAGGUGUAGCGGUGAAAUGCGUAGAGAUCUGAAGGAAUACCGGUGGCGAAGGCGGCCCCCUGGACAGAUACUGACACUCAGAUGCGAAAGCGUGGGGAGCAAACAGGAUUAGAUACCCUGGUAGUCCACGCCGUAAACGAUGUCUACUUGGAGGUUGUGGCCUUGAGCCGUGGCUUUCGGAGCUAACGCGUUAAGUAGACCGCCUGGGGAGUACGGUCGCAAGAUUAAAACUCAAAUGAAUUGACGGGGGCCCGCACAAGCGGUGGAGCAUGUGGUUUAAUUCGAUGCAACGCGAAGAACCUUACCUACUCUUGACAUCCAGAGAACUUUCCAGAGAUGGAUUGGUGCCUUCGGGAACUC